rnacentral:rRNA from 1 species
UCUCAUGGCCUUAUGGGUAGGGCUUCACACGUCAUACAAUGGUCGGAACAGAGGGUUGCCAACCCGCGAGGGGGAAGCUAAUCCCAGAAAACCGAUCGUAGUCCGGAUUGCACUCUGCAACUCGAGUGCAUGAAGCUGGAAUCGCUAGUAAUCGCGGAUCAGCAUGCCGCGGUGAAUACGUU